rnacentral:rRNA from 1 species
CGUCUAUAUACGUAUAGCAUAUCAAUAAGCGGAGGAAAAGAAACUAACAAGGAUUCCCCUAGUAACGGCGAGUGAAGCGGGAAGAGCUCAAAUUUGAAAUCUUCAAGGUUCUACCUUGACGAAUUGUAGUUUAAAGAAGUGUUUUCUGUUGGAGUUUUGGUAAAAGUUCUUUGGAAUAGGACAUCAUAGAGGGUGAGAAUCCCGUAUUUGACCAUUAUUUCCAACUUUGUGAUACACUUUCAAAGAGUCGGAUUGUUUGGGAAUGCAGUCCAAAAUGGGUGGUAAAUUUCAUCUAAAGCUAAAUACUGGCGAGAGACCGAUAGCGAACAAGUACCGUGAGGGAAAGAUGAAAAGAACUUUGAAAAGAGAGUUAAACAGUACGUGAAAUUGUCAAAAGGGAAGCGUUUGACACCAGUGUUGUUUUCUCGAAAAUCAAUUAAAAAUGGUGGGAUGUUGUGUUGUAUUGACUUUAUCAGCUUUCUGCACUUUUUUUCCUAUCUUUUUUAACGCACUUUUCGUUUAACAAGUCAACAUCAAUUUCUUUUGCUGUAAAAGAGUCAUUGGAAGGUGGCUUUCUUUUCGGAGAAAGUGUUUAUAGCCUUUGACUUCUGCAAUCGGAGAGAUUGAGGUCUGCAGCGUAGAUCCUUCGGGGUUAGAUGCAUUUGUGCUAAGUUAUAGCCUUUCAUAGACAACUUGUUGACUAUGAUCAGUCAUGUAGCUUACUCGCUUAUGUUAUUUUACCUACGCUUAGGAUGUUGAUCUGUAGUGCGUGCGC